rnacentral:sRNA from 1 species
UUGGUAAAUGAGAUUGCCGGUGGCCAAUGACUAGGCAGAGAGGCGGGACUUUAGGAUUCGUGGGGAAGGGAACUGAGAAGAAAAAGAAUCAGCAGGCCAUGAAGGGAAUAGGACCCAGGCUUGAGAGCUGCAGAAGAGAAAGCAACAAUCGUGGAAGCGUCUGGAAAGAGCAGCCCCAGGACUGCCCCCGUUGGGUCUAAGGGUCUCUUCACCAGAGACAGAGGCCAAGAAACUGGCUCCUGGCCCCGCAGGGAACCCACCCAGAUUAGGGCUUCAACUCGGUAAAAGGUAAGGAGCAUCUCCAGAUUUGCCACCAGGCUCUGUAAACAGGUCUCAACAAUAAUUUGGCCAAGGUUUAGAUAUGAUAUUAGAUAAGAGAACACAGAGAAUUCUAGUACAGUAGCCUUGGCUUUCACCAAUUAGUUAGUGCCAAAUAUUAGAGAAAAGUUAAAGGUGCAAGGAGCAUGGAGAAGAGUGCAGAUCAAGACAGGAAAAAAUUAGAGACCUUCUAGCCAACAACAUCUCGGAUCCAGGAGAAAAGAAAUUCCAAGCUUCAAUAAAUUAACUUUGGGACUUGACUACCCCCGCCCCUGCAAUUCUAAUUGCCUACAUGCUUCACUAUCAGACUUUACUAAUCAACCCUGGCUGAGAUAUUUUCCAGCCACCUGUUUCCCUGAGCCCUGUGACUCUCCUACCCGAUCCUGACUUGGACUGUCCACUCCAUUGAAAAAUGACUCUCCUCUGUCAGAGACAGAGCAGACCUGGUGUACAGACAGAAGCAGCUUCAUCCAUGGAGGUCAGAGGAGAGCAGGGGCAGCGCUGACAACGGAAAUGGAGGUAGUCUGGACUCAGUCUCUUCCUCCAGGCACUUCAAUGCAAAGGGCCAAGUUAAUAACAUUAACACAGGCCCUCAUAAUGGGAAAAGGAACCACUGGCUAGAGAUAACAGCCUGGCUGCCAAGGCUGCCAAGGAGGUAGCCUUAAAGGAAACAGCUAUCUCUAGAUUGACCGCUGUCCUACCUGAACCACCCAGAGUACCUAAUGUAUGCAGAAAAAGAAAUAAAAUGGGCUGGCAGGGAUUGACUGAAGGUAAGCUAACAUUACCCACCUCUUUAACAAGAUCUGUUCUCAGAAAGAUCUACAGAGUACUACUUGGGAGUAAAACGAGUGACAGACACAGUGAAACAAUAUAAAAUGCCUUCUUCUGCCUAACCUUGACUCCCCAGAGCCAGGAGUACUUGGCUUUUGAGUGGAAAGAUCUCGAGACGGGGAAUCACAGCACCAGGCUGCCCCAGGGCUUCAAGAACUCUCCAACCCUCUUCAAUGAGGCCCCAUAUCAUGACCUUACCGUCUAUCAUUGAGUCUAACCCAUAGGUGACCCUCCUGCAAUAUGUGGAUGACCUUUUAAUCACAGCCGAGACUGAGGAAGACUGUCUCAGGGGCAUAAAGCAGCUGCUGAUAGAACUGAGCAAAUUGGGUCAUCGAGUCUCACCCAAGAAAGCCCAAACCUGUCAAUGUAAGGUGAGCUACCUAGGGUACCUGUUGGAGGAUGGGAGGCACUGGUUAUGAGAGGCCAAGAAAGGAAUCAUUUUUCUUUCCCUGACCCAAAGACCCUCAAACAAGUGCAAGAAAGGCUGGAUGACCCUUUUUCUGGGGCGAGGGAGAACUCCAGACAUUUGAUGCCAUUAAGAGGGCUCUUUUGGAAGCACCUGUGCUAGGACUGCCUGACGUCAGCAAGUCCUUUCAUCUCUUUGUGGCUGAGAACCUCCAAGACCUGACACGCGAGAACUAGCCUCCUUCUCCUAUGCUUGUCAAAGCUGGCUUCAUUAACAGACAGAUCUUCCCAGCAGUGCAGUGGUGAUAAAAGCUCACUGGAUACAACAAGCCCAGGACAGAGGUCAUCAUGGUUACCACCACUGCUAGGAGAAUCCACUUUGCUAUGGGCACAGCCCUUAACACCAAAAAGGGGAACAUUGAGAACCCCUGGGAGGGUGUAAUUGUUACCCAUAGACUGUACCUAUGGCUUUUAAACGACCUCGCCUCCCUCCUUGGAAAAAUCUUGAACAGUACGCUGAGUCUGAUCUGAAAGUCAUUUCACUCUACCAAAUGUGCAUAGUAUCCUGCCUAGUUACCUCUGUGCAAAUUCUGCCCCAAUUGUUUACAAGGUUACUCUCUGUUAGAGUCUGCUUAAGUCUCUCCUUGAAGUGGGAUGACCCUGACUUGUUGGAAUGAUUAAACUCUUCUUGCUUUUGCAUUGA